CUGAAUAAAGUUAUGGCCCAGAGCAAUGAGAGUAUGGCAAAAGAUACAGCGGAACACACAAGGAAGUGGUGGGGUAUCCAGAAAGGCUUCAAGAGCCUGAAGCAUAUGUGCAGUUGCUGGUGGAAGAGGGUCACUGUUAGGCAUUUCCGCCAUUGGAACUUGGAAUAUUAGAGAUUAUCACCUACUCUUCUUGAUGGAUCCUGCAGUAUCAUUUGCAAAUUAGGAAAAGAAAGAAUAAUACCAGAUAUUUAUGAAGAAGGCUUCAAGGUGUAUGAAAGCACUCAACAGCUUAAAUUUUCCCAGGAAAAUGAAAGAAACCAAAAUGAGAGAGGAGGGAGGAAGGGGAAGUUAUUUUGUUUUAGAAAACCAAAAUCGCUCCUGUUUUUCCUGUUUUUAAUUAGAAAGUAACAACUUCCACGUGGAAAGGGAAUCUGAUUAGAAAAAAAAGAAAGGAAAUUAAUAACUUCCAAGUGAAAUUGAGUUUCAGAUUCUUAACUAAGAAACUGAGAGCGAAACAGUUAUGAAUGUGAAAUCAACGACACCCAAGUUAUCAGAUUCUUGAAAACUAGCAAACUUGAAUUUAAUUUUCUGGAGAAAGUGAGCGAAAGCGAGAGAAAGUGAUAGAGAAACAGUUAUGAUUCUUAUAUAGGAAACAAAGAAAAUGAACUUGAAGAAAUAGAUCCAUACAGAAAGAAAGACAAGGGUUAGGAGAAUUUUACCGGAUUGGUGACCAAAAAGACCAAGAAAUUGCUGAAUGUGAAGUCAACAACCUCCAAGUUAUCAGAUUCUUGAAAGCUAGCAAACUCUGAAUUUAAUUUUCUGGAGAAAGUGAGACCGAAAGUGGGAGAAAGUGAGAGAGAAACAGUUAAGAUUCUUGAAUAUGAAACAAAGAAAAUGGACUACUUGAGAUGGAUCUCCAGAGAGAGAGAAAGAAAGAAAGAAAGCAAGCAAGCAAGAAAGAAGGAAAGAAAAGAGCUUCGAGAAUUUUACCGGAUUGAUGACCAAAAAGAUCAAGAAAUUGUUGAAUGUGAAAUCAACAACUUCCAAAUUAUAAGAUCGUCUCAGAUGGGUGAAAGCAGCAAGUUGAAUUUUCUAGGGAAAGUGAUAGAAAGCGAGUUUGAUAUUGGCGGGAAAGAGAGACGGUUAUGAAUGUGAAAGAGGAAUAGUAAUGAUUAUAUACUCUAAACAGUUUUAUGCAAGAUUGUCAUUACACUCAACAACCUUCAUAUUACCACCGUGCCAUCACAUGUUUUUAUAUUUAGAGUCAAACAUCAAAUAGAAUGCAUAUUAAAAAUUUAUCCCUUACUUGGAUCAUGAAUUUUUUAAAUUACCUUUUAUUUUUCUUUUGAAACAAUGAUUAAAUAUCAUGUUCUAUUAUUUUUUUUAUAAAAGAAAUAAGAUAUUCUAUAAUUUUUAUUUUGCUCUAUCUGAAGGAUGUAGUGCAUUAUUUUAUUAAAAUAUUCAUUGGGUAAGUACAAUAAAAUAAAUAUCAUCACCUUCCAAAAUUAGUUAUACCUCAUUCCUCAUUCCACUUAAUAUUAUAUGGUCAUGUCAAGGAGAUAUAAGUUUUGACAAGGUACCUUUGAUCUAGCCUGUGUGUUACAAAAUAAUUUACAAUCUUUUAGAAAUGGUGACUCGUUUUCAUAAAUCCAAUUUCAAUUCUUCCAUUCUUUAUUAAAUAAUUUCAACCAUACAAAUUAGAAACUUUCUAUGAUCCUUUAAUAAUAUCAUUAAUAUGAAAAUACAAUAUUUACUUAGAUUUAUAGUUUGCAUUGAUAAAUCAUAGCUUCUAUGAUCAAGUCCUUUGAAAAUUGAAUAUGGAUUUUUAAAUUUAUUUUCUUUUUAGGACCUUGGGUUAUUCAUGAUCAAGCUAAGUUUUAUAGCUCAAAAUUUUAUCUGAAAUAUUUUCUUAGUUUAGAUCCUUAAUUACCAUUUAAUGAUUGAAAUUGAAGUAUGUCACAUCGUUUAGGUUCUCACUUCUUUUAUAGAUUUGGCUUUAGGAUAUGUAACAAUAGGACAAACUUAGUUAACUAGUGAUUAAGGGAUAACAAGAAUCAUUAUUACUUCUAUAAAGUACUAUUGUACCUUCUUUAGUUUGAUUUUGACUUUAGUACUCUAUUCUAAAAUUGGUUUUGGUAAGCCAAGGUCAAAGAUCGUGGUUCUCCCAACCAAAAACAACUAAAAAGAACAAGCAACUAUUGGUAUAGUGGCUUGAUCCAUCCCAUAGGGACAGGUCUUGUGAUACCUAAUGGUGUAAAUAUCUAAGAUUUCCAGUCUAAAUCCUACGUUAUUUUUAACCUAAUCUAAUUGAAUUAGAAAGAUGAGCUUUUUAGGUUUCAAAAUGUACAAAAACAUACUAAAAAUAUAAAGUGAUCAAAUAAUGAUGAAAUAAUCUAGAAACAAGUUCACUCCUAAGUUCAAAUCUCAAGGAAAGUAGGAUCCAAUAUGCUCCUAUGACAGUCACACUAUUUCACAUUCAGUUUUCAACCUAUUAAGCCAUAUACUCAUCUCAAACACUAACCCUAGAGGCGUCGCAAUAAGGGAUCAAAUCGAAUCUUUGUGAAUUAACUCUUAUGAGGAAGCAUUCAUUAAAUCCAAUAAGAAUCAAACAUACAUAACCCUAAUAAAUUUUAAAGAGAGUUAUUUUUCCAUGUAAAAUUUGUGAGAAAGAUGAAUCUUAGAGUAAGGACAACUUUUCUUAACACUUUAGAUGCACUCCACUAAGACUUUCCCAUAGGAGAUCCACUUUUUGUAGAUAUAAUUGGUGUUUAGCCACUCAAUGUUAUUCCCACAUAAUGUAUUGAAUUCAUGAAAUCAAUAGAGAUUUAUUGCAAAAAUCAAAAGUAAGUUUUUGUGUUUUUCAUCCUUCCUCCUCGUAAAAAUCUCUCAUUAACUCUUUAUACUUGCAACCAAACCCUAAAAAAAAAAAAUCAAGAAAAUGCUUAAAAUGUCUGUUACAGAAUCAGAAUCUACCUUACUUAUGUAGUUGACUUACCUUAUUUAUGUAUUGAUUAUAGGCUUGAUUAUAGGAUGUAAAUAUAGGAGACUUACCUUAGAUAGACUAGCAUAGCAUGUAUAAAUAGAGAUGUUUCUGUUAUGAAUAAAGGAAGAGUUUACAUAUUCAUUUUCUUUCUCUACAUUUUACAUGGUAUUAGAGCCACGUUUGGCUCAAGGGAAUUUUCUAGGUUUUGGGUUUUGUUCCUAACAGUCUGGAACAGUAACCUGUUACGUUUUUUUUUAGUCUGGAUUGCGUCACCGCCAACCCAGGGAGGAGCACAUUAUUGUUUCCGGAGCGUGGGAGCACAUGAGGCCACUGUUUCUUCACUGAUUUGACUUUUCGACGUUUCCCAUCUCUCGAUCUGACUUUCUGAUGUUUCCCAUCUUUCCGACCAUUCUCAAGUGGCAUUCCGGUGUUCGAUCAACUGUUGAGAGGAACAUCUCCUUGGUAGGUUCUGUCCCUUUGAUUUGUUCUCUGAUUCCUUGUGGAUAUUCAUUUUGGGUAUCAGCUGUUUUUGGUUUACUGCUGGAAUUAUAUUGUGAAUAUCAAUUAAAAUGACUGACAACAAAGCUUCUAUAACUGAAAUAGUUCCAGCACUGUCCAAAAUAACUGAUCAUAAAUUAAAUGGCACUAAUUAUCUAGAAUGGAGCAAGACAAUUAGAGUUUAUUUGCGUAGUGUUGAAAAAGAUGACCAUCUGACCAUGGAAACCCUUGAUAAUGAAACUAGAAAGACUUGGAUAAGGGAUGAAAAAUGCACGUUUAUUCCUACAAAUAAGGAAUUCUAUUGAUAGUGAAAUUGUUGGACUACUUAAUCAUUGUGAGUUUGUUAAAGAAUUAAUGGAUUAUCUGGAGUUCUUAUAUUCUGGCAAAGAGAAUGUGUCCCGAAUGUAUGAUGUGUGCAAAGCCUUCUAUCGUGCUAAAAAGGAGGCCAAAUCUCUCACAACUUAUUUUAUGGAUUUUAAGAAGACUUAUGAGGAGUUGAAUGUACUUUUACCUUUCAGUACUGAUAUUAAGGCGCAACAAACUCAGAGAGAAAAAAUGGCAGUAAUGAGUUUUUUAGCUGGCCUUCCAUCUGAAUUUGAAACUGCUAAAUCUCAAAUUCUUUCCAAUUCUGAGAUUGGUUCACUUCAAGAAGUGUUCAGUAGAAUUUUGCGUACUGAAGGUACCUCAUCUAUCCAGUAGACUAAUAAUGUUCUUGUUGCCAAAGGAGGAAGCAAUGAUACUGGGAGAAAAUCAAACAACAGGGGAGGAAGCAAGACUUCUGAUAGCUAUAACAAUGAUUCAAGCAACAUUGUUUGCUACUACUGUCAUGAGCCAGACCAUACCAAGAAAUACUGCAAGAAAUUACAAAACCAUAAUCAAAGAAAUCAGAUUGCUAAUGUUGCCACCGCCUCUAGUACUUCUUCAAGUUCUUCUGAUAAGACGAUCAUGGUCUUAGUUGAUGGGUUUGCAAAAUUCUCUCAGUAUCAGGAAUCAUUGAAGAUUUCUACUUCGGUUACUGCUCUUGUUGAGACAGGUAAAACAUGUCUUAUCUCCUCCUCAAACAAAUGGGUAAUUGAUUCAGGUGCCACUAAUCACAUGAUAGGUAAUCCUAAAACAUUCUCUAGUUUUCAAUCACAUUUAGCCCCUUCUCCUGUUACCAUUGCUGAUGGGUCAACCUUUAAUGUUGUGGGUUCUGGGACUAUCAAACUAACAUCCUCUAUCACUUUGUCAUCUGUUCUAAGUUUACCUAAGCUUGCCUUUAACUUGAUAUCUGUCAGUAAACUUAACAAAGAUCUGAACUAUUGUAUCUCAUUCUUUCUUGACCAUUGCCUUUUUUAGGAUCUUAUGAUGAAGCAGAUUAUUGGUAAAUGACAUGUAUCUGAUGGUCUUUACAUUCUUGAUGCGUGGGUACCUCGGUCGUUUUCUUGUUCUAGCAUCGCUUCUUCAGUUAAAGCUCAUUUUCGUUUGGGACAUUCAUCUUUACCAGUGUUAAAGAAGUUAUGUCCUCAGUUUCAUAGUUUACCUUCGUUUAAUUGUGAAUCAUGUCAUUUUGCAAAGCAUCACCGUAGUUCGUUAAGCCCAAGAGUUAAUAAGAGGGCUGAAUCUAUUUUUGAGUUAGUACACUCUGAUGUUUGGGGACCUUGUCCUGUUACUUCUAAAACUGGAUUUCGAUAUUUUGUUACAUUUGUGGAUGAUUUUUCUCAAACGACUUGGAUUUAUUUUAUGAAGAAUCGGUUUGAAGUUUUCUCUCAUUUUUGCGCAUUUUGUGCUAAGAUUAAAACACAGUUUAAUAUCUUUGUACGAACAUUGAGAAGUGAUAAUGGUAAAGAAUAUAUGUCUAACUCAUUUCAUAGUUACAUGACUCAACACGGGAUUCUUCAUCAAUCCUCUUGUGUGGAUACUCCUUCUCAAAAUGGAGUUGCUGAGAGAAAGAACAGACAUUUACUAGAAAUAGCCCGGGCACUCUUGUUCCAGAUGAAGGUUCCUUAACAGUUUUGGGCUGAUGCGAUAUCUACUGAUUGCUUUUUGAUUAAUCACAUGCCAUCUACAGUACUCAAUGAUCAAAUCCCAUACAGUAUAUUGUUUCCAAAGAAGUCUCUAUUUCCAGUUGAACCACGAAUUUUUGGAAGCACUUGCUAUGUUCGAGAUGUAAGGCCAUCUGUGACUAAACUAGAUCCCAAAGCCUUGAAGUGUGUGUUCUUAGGGUAUUCUCGUCUUCAGAAAGGUUAUCGAUGAUUUUCUCCUGAUCUCAACAAGUAUGUGGUAUCGACUGAUGUGGUAUUUUCAGAAGAUACACCUUUUUAUUCUUCACCCCCAAAUUCAGAAAGUGAGGAGGAGGGUGAAAAUUGGCACAUAUAUCAAGAAACCAUCCCAAGUACUCCCACUGAUUCUUCUGAGCAACCACACGCUGUUGUUGACUUAUUGCCUACUCCAACUAAGCCACCAAUUGUUCAGGAAUACUCCAAAGGAGACAAAAGAUACAUGUCCUGCACCAACUUCUUCGUUAUCUGAUCCUCCCAGUGACCUUGACCUCCCCAUUGGUCUUCGCAAAGGUAAACAUCAAUGCAAAUCAGUUUAUUCCAUUGCUAAUUUCGUUUCUUAUGAUCACUUGUCUCCUUCUCGAGCGCUUUUGUUGCCCCUUUAGAUUCUGUCACUAUUCCCAAAAUUGUCAAGGAAGCCUUGAAUCACCCUGGAUGGUAUAAUGCAAUGCUUGAGGAAAUACAAGCUCUAAAAGUCAAUCACACAUGGAAUCUAGUUGAUUUACCAAUAGGAAAGAACGUUGUGGGAUGUAAGUGAGCCUUUGCAAUAAAAGUUAAUCUUGAUGGCUCAGUGGCACGACUGAAAGCCAGACUUGUAGUUAAAGUCUAUGCUCAUACUUAUGGGGUGGACUAUUCUGAUACUUUCUCUCCAGUAGCCAGACUUGCUUCAAUCCGCCUGAUUAUAUCAAUUGUUGCUUCUCAGCAUUGGCCCCUGCACCAACUGGAUAUAAAAAAUGCAUUCCUUCAUGGAGAUCUCCAGGAAGAAGUAUAUAUGGCGCAACCACCUGGGUUUGUUGCUCAGGGGGAGUAUGGGAAAGUGUGUCAUCUCAGAAAAUCUCUCCAUGGAUUGAAGCAGAGUCCUCGAGCUUGGUUUGGCAAGUUUAGUGAGGUGAUUCAAGAGUUUGGGAUGAACAAAAGCAAAGUUGAUCAUUCAGUCUUCUAUAGACAGUCAGCAAAUGGUAUUAUUCUUCUCAUUAUUUAUGUUGAUGACAUUGUCAUAACAGGAAAUGAUUGUGCAUGAAUUUCUUCUCUCAAAUUGUUUAUGCAUUCCAAGUUUCACACAAAGGACUUGGGCGAGCUAAAAUAUUUCUUAGGAGUAGAAGUAUCAAGAAGCAAAAGAGGAAUCUUCUUGUCACAGAGGAAAUAUGUUCUUGACUUGCAGAAACUGGAAAGAUGGAAGCCAAGCCAUGUAGCACACCGAUGAUCCCUAAUGUACAUUUGACGAAAGAUGAUGGUGAUCCAUUUGAUAAUCCAGAAAGAUACAAAAGAUUGGUUGGGAAAUUGAAUUACCUUACAGUGACUCGCCCAGACAUUGCUUAUGCAGUUAAUAUUGUCAAUCAGUUUAUGUCUGCACCUACAGUGAAGCAUUGGGCAGCCUUGGAGCAGAUUUUGUGUUAUUUGAAAAGAGCUCCUGGUAUGGGCAUAUUGUACAUCAAUCAUAGACAUGCUCAAAUUAAGUGUUUUACAGAUGCUGACUGGGCUGGAUCCUAAGAUGAUAGACGAUCCACAACAGGAUUUUGUGUCUUUGUUGGUCGGAAUCUUGUAUCUUGGAAGAGCAAGAAGCAGAAUGUGGUAUCUCGGUCUAGUGCAGAAUCAGAAUACAGAGCCAUGGCGCAAGCCACGUGUGAAAUUAUGUGAUUGUAUCAUCUUCUAAUUGGGAUUGGAAUAAAGACUCCCAUGCCAGAAAAACUUGGGUGCGACAACCAAGCAGCUAUUCAUAUCGCCUCAAAUCCAGUAUAUCAUGAAAGAACUAAACAUAUUGAAGUAGAUUGUCACUUUAUUCGUGAGAAGAUUCAAGAAAAUUUGAUUUCCACAGGUUAUGUGAAGACUGGAGAACAACUGGGAGAUAUUUUCACUAAGGCGUUAAAUGGAACUCGGGUUGAAUAUUUUUGUAACAAGCUGGGCAUGAUUAACAUUUAUGCUCCAGCUUGAGGGGGAGUGUUACAGAAUCAGAAUCUACCUUAUUUAUGUAGUUGACUUACCUUAUUUAUGUAUUGAUUAUAGGAUGUAAAUAUAGGAGACUUCCCUUAGAUAGACUAGCAUAGCAUGUAUAAAUAGAGAUGUUUCUGUUAUGAAUAAAGAAAGAGUUUACAUAUUCACUUUCUUUCUCUGCAGUUUACAAUGUCUAAAAAUGAACAAGGGAUCCAAAUGAAGGAAGUCUUGGAAAAAAAUAACAAAUUUUAUAAUCAAAAUUCCAAUACAUGAUCAUUGUUGUAUUGAAAUGUUCAAUAAAGGCCUUAUCUUUUUAGGUCACCAUUGAAACCCAUGGGUCCUUGUUGAAAUCAAUAUUGAAUCAUUUUGUCCUUGUAUCAAAAAGUUCAUCUUGAAUAACAUCAUUCCUCUUAGCCUUCUCUUGUUGUAUUAAACUCCAAUACACUCAAAUCAAGUUAAAUCACUCCACAAAACACUAUUUGCAUGGAUUGGUAUUGAAUAUGCAAAAAUGAAAGUAUUUUCCAAAAUCUUGAGCUUAUAUUGGCUUGGUGUAGAAAUUUUCAAUAGUGAAAAUUUGAUAAAUGAUUUUGUCAUCCCCAUUGGUAUCAAAAUUUCCUACCAAGGUUUUAGUUAUGAAAAUUAUGUGUAAAUGUUAUUGACUACAAUCGAUGAAGGAAACUAAGGCUUGACUCUCUAGGUGCUUUAUCAAAUUUUUGAUAAAUCACAUUUUGGUGUCAAAAUAGGUUCAAAAAAGGGCAUCAAACAUCCAAUUUUUGCUAUUCAUAUGCCUUGAACUUUAUCAAUAUUUUGAAAUGAUAAUUUCUAAAGAGCCUUCCAACAUUGAUUUCCCCUGGUGUCGAAAUGACUUUGAUACUUCCUUUAUAUUGAAAAAACUUAUUUCUUUUUCUUUUUUUUUUUUGCAUUCUUUCAUCCUUCUACAAAUCUCUAAGUCUUGUUCUUUGAUCUUGAUCCUUCUUUUGACCUUCUUAAGACCUUUUUCCCAACCAUAUCAUCCCUGAACUCCUUAAGCUAGCUUCCUUUCCUUCCUUUCCUUCUUCAAUUCUUGAGUCACUUUGUACAAUACUUAGCUUUUUAUUCUUUUUUUUUUCAUUGCAUUUUCACUAACUAGACAUGUUAGUAUACAUAUAAGAACUGAGCAUAUACUUAAGUUAAAAGACAAUGAUUAUCACUUAAAGUAUAUGAAAAUCAAUCUUUUGAGAAUAUAUAAACAAUGGCUUUGAGUGCUGCUCAUUUUCCUACUCCAAACUACAAAUAGAGUUUAUUAUUCUAUUACUUUAUCCCAACCAUUAUUGAAUCCUUUUUGGGUUUUUAUUUUACCCAUUAUUUCUCUAUAAUCCUAAUCUUAAACUUCCAAACUUUACGUCCUAGAGUAGUUAUGCGUUCCUCAUGGGUGUGUUGUCACAUACACAAUCUAUAGGAAAAAACUAAAUAGAAAUGUAUUAAAUCAAUGAAUCAAAACCAAAAGUCAAAACAUAUGAAAAAGAGAGCGAAUAUAACCUUAGGUCCAGCUUCAGGAACUACUUGCGUCAACAUAUAGGUGCUUCCAUGUUUCAUAAGUUGGGCAUUAGGCGGGAAAUCCCAUAUAUGGUGGCUUGGGAAAUGUCCAAAAAUGUGGGCCUCCCACUAUCUCAAAGCAUCAAGGUGAAUGGCACCACGGGUGUGAUUGUUGCCAUCUUAGUGCUAUUUUUUCUUGAGGCUUAAACUUGCAUAGUGCAAAAUGGUGCCAAGGCCUAUGGUAAUGCCAAGAUGGCACCAUCCUUGCUUCCAAAUGCUAAGUCCCAAUCCUUUGUUUUCCCUGUGCAAUGCCUCAAUAGCUACACCAAAUGGUAAACUCCAAGUAAAAAAUUAAAUCUUUUGACUUUGUUUAGGUUGGUUUGACUACGAUCAAUUGAGGAACAUGUAUGUCGUCUAUCAUGGGCUUAGUCUUAUAUACAUAUAAGAUUUUAAACAAUAAACACGACCAUGUAUAUUUUGUUUGUAUUAAUAUCCUUAAAAAACCAUUAUUAAUAUGAUAAUAUGCUAAGAUCUACAUGGAAUGUAUCCAUGUACUUUUGUACUUUUAACUUAUCUAUGUGUCUUUUCUAUAAAUAAAUUCAAGUAGGACGUGUCUAUCUUUAUAUGUUACUAAAUAUCAUAAAUAAUCAUAUAAGGCCUAUGAAAGUUUUAUGUCCUCGCGGGUUUCUUGAAAGUAAAUUACAUGAAGUAAUAAUUUAUAUAUGUUUUAUUUUAAGGUAAAUUAUAGUAAUUAUUAUUAAUCUUAAAAAAAAAAUAUAUUAUCUCACAUUUUUAUUCUAAAAUUAAAAAGUUCCAAUUAUAUUUAAAAAUUUGGAAGUAUCUUCCAUGGAAUAUGUCCCUCAUUAAUUGACCCAUUUUGAAGCAUUAAUGGGUCAGACCUUCAAUCCUUUUGGGCAUUGCAUCCUGGAUACCAAGAAUAUCUCUUCUAAUUUGAAUGGUAUUACUAGGUUUCUUAUGAAUUUAUUUAUCCCAACAUAAAAGCUUCUGAACACAUUCUACUAGAGGAACAAAUGACUAAAGCAUCCAUUGUUGCAUGCAACAGAGCUAGUAUUAGCUAGCAAUUGUAAUCCUACUUCAAGUUUCAAAUUUUAUUCAAUUGGUAUUACAUCACAAGUUUAUCACAUUGGAUAACUGCAUUGAGAUUCUUAGUAACAGAGACCGUAUCUAUGGAGAGCCAUCAGCCAUGAGCCACGUCAUUGAGCCAUUAUGGCUGAGGAGGAGGAGGAGAAGGAACUGGCAGCACAAAAUGGCCUACAUCGACAAUAGGGUGGCCUGGGCUCCGCCGAAGCUGCAUGUGAGAUCUUGAGCUUGAGAUUAGAGAUUGCCAACACGUAAAACAGAAGAUUGUGUGCAUGAUAAACAGAAGUUUGAGCGAAUGGUAUUUCUUACAACUUUCCAGCCAGCAGGUUGUGUGCAUGAUAAACAGAAGAUACGGGUCAAGCCCAAAUGAGCCGCCUGAUUUGCAGCUCUAAUCCCAUCAUAAGUUGUUAUCCCUAAGCAAGAAUCGAACAUGCUGGCGCUGCAUCCAUGAACAAAAUAAUAAUUAAAAGUAAUAAUUCUAUCUGUAAUAAUUCAAAGUAAUAAGAAUCGAUCAGAAAAUAAUAAUAUCACCCUACAAGGAGAACAUUCAUCAAACAAAUAUACAAGAAAAAUGUGAUUCUGAUAUAUGGGGAGAGACAUACUCGAACAUUUUGCCUGCUAAUAAAGCGUCAAGAGCAGUGGUUACAGGUGAUCCAUGUUGGAGUUAAGUCAGGAUUUCCAUGGAUUAUGGUUUGUUUCGCUUGUCGUCCCAACUAUCACUCUCCUUAACCCAUGCAUUUAGAAUUAAGUUUAUGAUAAAGAAUUAAUACAAAUAUUGUAACAAAGAUGAGAACCGAGAUGAAAAAGAUUCAAUAAGAUUAAUUUGAAAAGGCAAUCUGAUCAGAAAAAAGAAAUUAACAACUUCCAAGUGAAAUUGAGUUUCAGAUUCUUGACUAAGGACUAGUUAAGGUAUCCGGAAAAAGAAAGAAAGGAUUAGCUAAUAUACUUGUACUUGAUUGAUGAUGAAUGAACAAGACUAAGAAGAAAUUGCUGAUUGUGAAAUCAACAACACCCAAGUUAUCAGAUUCUUGAAAGCUAGCAAACUUGAAUUUAAUUUUCUGGAGAAAGUGAGACCUGAAGUGAGAGAAAGUUGAGAGAAUUUUACCGGAUUAAUGACCAAAAAGACCAAGAAAUUGUUAGAAUGUGAAAUCAACAACUUCCAAAGAUUGUCUCAGAUUUGUGAAAGCUAGUAAGUUGAAUUUUCUAGGGAAAAUGAGAGAAAGCAAGAGUUUGUUAUUGGUUUGAAAGAGAGACAGUUAUGAAUGUGAAAGAGGAAUAGUGACUGAUUCUAUAGUGUACUCUGAAUAGUUAUGGAAGAUUCUAAUUAAUCUCAACUAAUUUUUUAAAAAUCGUAAAAUUUAUUACAAAAAUUCUGAAUUGUUGACAAAAAUUUCAACAAUUUCCUUGGUAUGAAAUUUACUAGUUAAAGUUUAUAUCUUUUUACAAAAUAUACAACUUUUAAAAUAACUUUUAUAUUGUGAGGAAUAACUUCUAUAAAGAACGGGUCCUAUCCAUUUAGUCGAAAAAGAAUCUCCCAUGUGCUAGUUUUCUUUUAUCUCCAAGCUUGGUUGUUCUUCUUUAACUCUCUACAAAGCUUGGCAUUUUGUGUGUGUGUUUUUUUAUUUAUUAAAUUAAGACAAUGAAUUGGUUAUACAAUAUGUGCUUUAUAUAUACCCAUAGGAAUCCUAAUUAAACCUAGACUUUGUUUCUUUACUAUCCUAAAAUUAUUAAUAUUUGAAUUUGGUUCUUUUGAUGUUGAAAUCCUAAUUCUAUUAGGAGUUUAGUUUUAAAUAUAUUAGGUUUUUAUAAUUGUUUAUAUAUAUAUUAAAAAACAAUAGAAAACAUGGUGUGAUAAUUUUUACAUAAUUAUUUAUCAUCUCCUUUAUUUAUUUAAUUUUUUCAUUCCUUUUGUGUGGAGAAAUUGUUCUUGUGCUGGAAAGAUUAUUUUUGGUUGCUCACAUUUGGUAUAAGCACUUGACGGUUAAGAUGCAAGCAAUUAAUUAUAAUAAUAUAAUCCAAUUCCAGUUUCCAAAUUUUGAUGGAAAAAAUAAUUUUGAAUUUGAGUAUCAAGAUAUUCGGGGAGUAGUAAAUCAAUGAUUUGUUGUACCAACAAAUCAAGCACAACUCACACAAGUACAAAAGUACAAUUUGGAAAAUUCCAAAAAGAAAAUUUUAAGGACUCGCACCUUUGCAUCUAUUAGUCGAUAGAAACAACUAUUUUUAAGAAGAGUACAAUUGCAAUCACACAAGAAAGGUGCAUGCGACAUUCUUUUGAAUACCGACAAAGGGGUAUAGAAGGAGCAGAAGGCUCUAUCAUAGAUUUUGAGAAAACAAUUCAGGCUUUUUUAGAUUUUGAAAACAAAAAAGAGUCAUUGACUAUUUUUUACAAACAUUAACUCUUCUUAAUCAAAUGAAAUAUAAUGGUGAAAAUGUUUCAAAUCUCCAAGUUGUGGAAAAAAUUCGUCAAAUCUUAACCAUGUAAUUUGAAUACAAGGUAACAAUAAUUAUUGAAAGAUCUUCGUACUAUGACGUUGGGUGAAUUGAUGGAUUCCUUACAAGCCCAUGAACAACACUUAGAUGAAAGGUCUUAGAUUGAGGCAAAAGAAGCACUAGAAAGCCAAGUAAGUCUUAGAAGAGAAAAAAUAAGUCUCAAAAUAAUUCUAAAUCAAGUAAAAAAGGUUAAAAUUUAUAGAAUAGAGGAUAAGAAAAUUCUAACUCAUGCUAAAAAGAAGGAAGAGGUAAUAUUUUAACUUAAAGAAAUAAUAAAUCUCAUUUUUAAUAUUAUAAUUGAAAAAAAUAUGGUCAUUACAAGAAAGAAUGUAGGGCUUGGAGAUAUGAUGAGAGGAAUUUCUAGGUUAAUGCUAUAGAAGAUAAAAAUGAAAAUUUAGAGACCUUGUUAUCAGCUUAUAGUGCUGGAAGGGAUGAAAAAAAAAGUAUAUGGUUUUUUUAUAUAGGCUAUAGUAAUCAUAUGUUUGGUAGGAAAGAAAUGUUUUCUGAGUUAGAGAAGACUUUUAAUUCAGAGGUAAAAUUUGGGAAUGAAUCAGUAGUACCAGUUAGGAGUAAAGGUAAGAUUUCCAUUAAAUUGAAAGAUAAAUCCUAAAAUUUUAUCUUUAAUUUGUUAGAUGUUCCAUGUCUUCAUCAAAAUCUAUCAAGUAUGGGGAAACUUUCAGAUAACAAAUAUGAUAUGCAGAUCUAUAAGGGUAUCUAUACCAUCAAUGAUGAUAAAAAAAAGGACUAGUGAAAAGGUAAAUAUGACAUAAAAUCAUUUAUUUUCAUUAAAUAUUAAUUGUGGAUAAUUACCUUUCUUUAGCUCUAUAAUUGAUGAUAGAAAUUGGUUAUGACACUCACGUUUUGAACAUUUAAAUUUUAAAAGUCUAAAAUUACUUGCUACUAAGAAGAUGGUUUCUGAGUCGCUUUUUAUUAAUUCUUCAAAUGAGGUUUUAAGAAAAAAGCUUAGAGAUAAUUUUCCUAUCAAAAAAUCAUGGGGAGCUAGGAUGUCUCACAAGUUGAUUCAUUCAAAUCUACGUCCAAUGGAGGUUCUCUUAAAUGAAGGUCACAAGUAUUUUCUAAAUUUUUUUUAAUGAUUUUAGUCAGAAGGCUUGGGUUUAGUUUUUUAAAGAAAAAAGGAGAUGCAUGUGAAAAUUUCAAAUUUUUUUAAGUUUAUGUGGAAAAACAAAGUGAAUAUACAAUCAAAAUUUUGAGAAUAUAUUAGGGUACUAAAUAUACUAUUAGUGAUUUUUUUUAAAAAAAAUGCGAUAUUGAGCAUCAAUUGGCCACAAGGUAUGCUCUACAACAAAACAGAAUUGUAGAGAGAAAAAAUAGAAUAAUUAUGGUUAUGGUGAGGUGCAUGUUGCACUUAAAACAAUUGCCUAGAAUAUUUUUGGGCCUAAACAAUUUCUUGUGCAGUUUAUUGAUUUAUUGAAUAGGUGCUCCACUAAAAGUGUUUAUGCAAAAACCCCAAAAGAAGCUUGGAGUCAUAGGAAGUCUAACAUUGGUUAUCUAAGGGUGUUUAGUGGCAUAACAUAUGCUUAUGUACUUGAUGCAUUGGAAAAAAAAAAUAUGAUGAUAAAGGUGAAAAGUAUAUUUUUGUUUGUUAUAACAAAAGGCUAUAAAUUGUACAAUCCACAAACCAAGAAGGUUAUUGUCAAUCGUGAUGCGAUUUUCUAUGAGCAAGUAGUAUGAGAUUGGUCCUCUAAUAAAAAAGGACCAUCAAGUGUACAUAUUCAUCUUGAAGAACAAAGUGAAGAUCAAAGUAUGAAUCCUACUAUUACACCAAUUAUGACUCCAUGUCUGAUAGAGUCAUCAAGGUGUCCAUAAUGUCAACAUGUUUUACCUAUAUGUUUGCAUGAUUAUGUGGUUGGUUGUGACAAGGACCUAACAAGGGAAAAAAUGAUGAAUUUUGAUUUAUUAAAUUAUAAGAAAGUUGCUUAAGAUGAUUGUUGGCUUGAAGCUAUAGAUGAAGAAUUUCAUAUAAUUGAGACAAACAAUACAUUAUGCAAUUGAGGAAAUAUAUUAGAGUUGAAUAUGAUGUUGUAAAACUGACUAGAUUCUCUUUGGACCUUUUCUUUUUUGGUCUUAUCUUGAUUCAUAUAUAACUUGUAAUGAAAGUUUGGCUUGCAAGAUUUCAUGUUUUCUCUACUGUUCUUGUAGGUGUUGCCUCCAAUGACCAUUCCAACAUAGUCCAAUGCCACAUCAAUAACAUUUAAGUUUUAUAUUUUUGUUUCACAAGAUUUACCUUUUUGCAAAUUUCUAGCUAUUGGCUUUGUGCCAAAAAUUCAAGACUAUGUGGCAUUCAUGUUAAGAAGAAAGUGGACCUGUAUGAAUUUUGAUUUUCUACAUAUGUAGUGGUAAUAUGACCUUACUUUGGGUAUAAUUAUUGGUAGUAAUCUAAAAACUCAAGCGGAUAUUGCCCAUCUCUAUUGCAUUUCAUGCCAAACUUUUGUUGGGUGGAGAAUAGUUAGGAUAUAUAUUGCUUUAUAACUCACAAAUUAAUUAAUUUUAUUUCAUAUAUAUGAGUUCCAAUCUUAUGGGUGAAUAAUUUUGCAUUCAGGUUUGCGAGCACAGACAACACAUAUGAGUUCUACUUUUUUUAAUAUAUUAAUAAGCUAUCAAACUUUUUUAUGUUUAUAAUUAAAAAAAGGAAAAAAAAAACCCUGAAGAUUAGUUAAGUUAGCUUAAUAUAAGGAUUUAGUUUAUCCAUAAAUUAUAAAUUUUUUAAAAACUUCUUAUUAUCUUAAUAAAUCAAGUGGUUUUUAAUUAACAAAAAAGAAAAAUAAAAUGUUGGACGAGUAAUUUUAUUUUGGAAUAAGUAGCCCUUUUUGUUAUACAUCACAAAAUAGUUUUUUUUUUUUUUUUAACUAGAACAUACAUAACAAUAGUACUUUUUGUACCUAAACAUAUUCGAUUUGCAAUAGAUAUAUAUAUAUAUAUAUAAACCAUCAUAACUUAUAUAUCCAAAGUGGUUUUUAUAUGAUUUCAAUUCAUAAGUAAUUGAUAAUUUAUAUAUGUCAUCAAAUAAGAUGAAUUUACAAGACUCAACUUUUGAAAAAAUAUCAUCUAAAAUACACUCGACACAUCAAAACAUUUACACUGAAUAGAAAUGUAUAGAAAACUUUACAUUGGAAACACAGCCUCUAUGCCUACAUCACCAUCACAUACGAGUACAAAAUGGCCUACACGGAUUACAGGGUGGUAAGCAGACUGCCGAAUCUGUAACAUAUGUUCCAUGAUUAUCAAUCUGAAUAUCAAAUAACAUAUAGAUAAAUCAAGGAGAAAAUUAAUUAAUUUGUUAAAUAUAUAAAUCCUUACUAUUCUCCACCCAAGCCAGCUUCCACAUGAAAUACAGUAGAUAUAAACCUUAUCCACAAGACUCCCUGCAGGAGAUUCACCUACAUAUGCUAGCACUGAGUAAUGUUCUCUAAUAUUCACACCAGCACUGCACACUUGGAACAUCAGAAUAGAUCAAAAAUCAAGAACAGUUAAAAAGACUAUCAAAAUGCGUUCUGAUAGCAUUGGAACCUUACGCGUUAUCAAAGAGGAGCUGAGCCGUGGAAAAUGGAUAAAGAUCCUACAAGAAUAGCAAAGAAAUUAAUUAAGCAUGAAAUCUUGCAAGUGAAUCUUAAUUAAUAGAAAAGAAAAAGUACCUGAAUAUAGUUGUGGCCCUGAGCAAUGAGAGCAUGGCAAAAGAUACAGCGGAACACACAAGGAAGUGGUGGGGUAUCCAGAAAGGAUUCAAGAGCCUGAAGCAUAUGUGCAGUUGCUGGUGGAAGAGGGUUACUGUUAGGCAUUUCCGCCAUUGGAACUUGGAAUAUCAGAGAUUAUCAGCUACUCUUCUUGAUGGAUC
rnacentral:lncRNA from 1 species